rnacentral:rRNA from 1 species
UUCCAGACUCCUACGGGAGGCAGCAGUGGGGAAUAUUGCACAAUGGGGGAAACCCUGAUGCAGCGACGCCGCGUGGGUGACGAAGUAUUUCGGUAUGUAAAGCCCUAUCAGCAGGGAAGAAGAUGACAGUACCUGACUAAGAAGCCCCGGCUAACUACGUGCCAGCAGCCGCGGUAAUACGUAUGGUGCAAGCGUUAUCCGGAUUUACUGGGUGUAAAGGGAGCGCAGGCGGUGCGGCAAGUCUGAUGUGAAAGCCCGGGGCUCAACCCCGGGACUGCAUUGGAAACUACCGAACUAGAGUGUCGGAGAGGUAAGUGGAAUUCCUAGUGUAGCGGUGAAAUGCGUAGAUAUUAGGAGGAACACCAGUGGCGAAGGCGGCUUACUGGACGAUAACUGACGCUGAGGCUCGAAAGCGUGGGGAGCAAACAGGAUUAGAUACCCCCGUA